AGAUAAUAUAAAGUUGCAAUUUAAAAAAAGAAAAAUCAAAUUAUAAGAGAAUAGAAAAAAAAAAAAGAAAAGAAGUUAAGUAUAUUGAAGAAAAGAUAUGAAUCGUGAAGUGGAUAAUAUAAUGAUUCCAUCGAACAAUAACAUAGUGGAAGAAUGGUCGAGCAAUUCGACUAUCAACCGUAUCGAGAACGACAUAACUUCCAAUUUUUUAGUGCAAUUAAUAUUUUAUAUACUUUACGUACAUAUUUUUAUUUUGGGUGUAUUUGGUAACAUGCUGGUAUGCUUCGUCGUGGCACGAAAUCGACAAAUGCAGACAGUGACGAAUUUGUUCAUCACGAAUUUGGCAUUGAGCGAUGUUUUGCUUUGCGUUCUUGCAGUACCAUUUACACCAUUGUACACAUUCCUCGGUAAAUGGAUAUUUGGCAGAACUCUUUGCCAUUUGGUACCGUAUGCUCAAGGUGUCAGUGUGUACAUCAGCACGCUGACCUUAACGAGUAUCGCGAUCGAUAGAUUCAUGGUAAUUAUCUAUCCGUUCCAUCCUCGUAUGAAGAUCGAAAUUUGUUUACUCGUAAUCAUCGGUAUAUGGAUAUUCGCAUUACUACUCACUUCCCCUUAUGGAAUUUACAUGCAGGAGGAGGAACCAUAUACUUACUGUGAAGAACAUUGGCCGAACGAACGAUUUCGCAAAAUUUUUAGUUCCAUCACAUCAAUAUUACAAUUUGUCCUACCAUUUUUUGUAAUUGCUUUUUGUUACAUCUGUGUCUCAAUCAAGUUAAAUGAUCGAGCUAAAACGAAACCUGGUACUAAGACCAAUAAAAGGGAAGAGGCUGACAGAGAGAGGAAGAAGCGAACGAAUCGAAUGCUGAUUGCUAUGGUCACUGUAUUCGGUAUAUCAUGGUUACCGCUUAAUAUCGUAAACGUUAUCAAUGAUUUUUAUUCGCCAGCCAAUGAUUGGAUAUAUUAUAAACUUUGUUUUUUCAUGACACAUUGCCUCGCUAUGAGUAGUACCUGUUACAAUCCUUUCCUUUACGCUUGGCUCAACGAUAACUUUCGCAAAGAAUUUAAACAAAACGAUUCGGAAAGACUUUUUAUUUCUUUGUACUUCCAUGCUUUUCAAAAGCAAUUAACGCUUAUACUCCGAAAAUUACCGAAGAAUUUCAAAAUAAUAAAGAAUGUAACGGAAAUAAUACCCUUCAGGAAUCUUUAUUAUUGAAUGAAACGCAAAUAAGAAAUUCGAAUCCAGAAGGAUGUGAAUUGAUUACCCACGAAACAACAGCCAGCAACGUGUCGAGAGACAUAGAAGAAACAGAAGCUCUCUGAUUCGACAAAGGUUCAAAUGUCAAUCGAUUAAUAAGCUGUACUUUCCCUGGAGACUAAAAAAAAUAUCUAGUUUCAAUCAAGUACAUACUAAAUUUUUCAUGGAUUAUUAUAUAUUUAGAAUGAAUGGUGGCGAUAAAUUAAAUGGAAGAAACAUAAUUUAAAAUUAAAUAGAGGAAAGAAAUAUAAUUUUAAAAGAAUAUACAAUGUAUUUAUUAUGAUUGAUAGCAUUUAUGAAUUUAAAUUUGUUAUAAAUUACAAAAGAAAUUGCAAAA
rnacentral:misc_RNA from 1 species